rnacentral:rRNA from 1 species
GACCAGACUCCUACGGGAGGCAGCAGUGGGGAAUAUUGCACAAUGGGGGAAACCCUGAUGCAGCGACGCCGCGUGAAGGAAGAAGUAUUUCGGUAUGUAAACUUCUAUCAGCAGGGAAGAAAAUGACGGUACCUGACUAAGAAGCCCCGGCUAACUACGUGCCAGCAGCCGCGGUAAUACGUAGGGGGCAAGCGUUAUCCGGAUUUACUGGGUGUAAAGGGAGCGUAGACGGCCAGACAAGUCAGAAGUGAAAGCCCAGGGCUCAACCCUGGGACUGCUUUUGAAACUGCCGGGCUGGAGUGCAGGAGAGGUAAGCGGAAUUCCUAGUGUAGCGGCGAAAUGCGUAGAUAUUAGGAGGAACACCAGUGGCGAAGGCGGCUUACUGGACUGUAACUGACGUUGAGGCUCGAAAGCGUGGGGAGCAAACAGGAUUAGAUACCCCCGUAA